rnacentral:tRNA from 1 species
GGGCUCAUAGCUCAGCCUGGCUAGAGCGACUGACUCUUAAUCAGUAGGUCGCGAGUUCGAAUCUCGUUGAGCCCG